CUUGGCCUCAAAUCAGGUAGGACUACCCACUGAACUUAAGCAUAUCAAUAAGUGGAGGAAAAGAAACUAACAAGGAUUCCCCUAGUAACGGCGAGUGAAGCGGGAAGAGCUCAAAUUUAAAAUCUGGCAGGCUACGCUUGUCCGAAUUGUAAUCUCGAGAAGUGUUUUCCGCGUUGGCCUGUGUACAAGUCCCUUGGAACAGGGCGUCAUAGAGGGUGAGAAUCCCGUCCUUGACACAGACACCCAAUGCUUUGUGAUACACUCUCAAUGAGUCGAGUUGUUUGGGAAUGCAGCUCAAAAUGGGUGGUAAAUUCCAUCUAAAGCUAAAUACUGGCGAGAGACCGAUAGCGAACAAGUACCGUGAGGGAAAGAUGAAAAGCACUUUGGAAAGAGAGUCAAACAGUACGUGAAAUUGUUGAAAGGGAAACGAUUGAAGUCAGUCGUGCCUGCCUAGAUUCAGCCUUCUGGUGUAUUUCUAGGUCGGCAGGUCAGCAUCAGUUUGGGGGGGUUAACAAGGGAGCUGGGAAUGUGGCAACCUCGGUUGUGUUAUAGCCCAGUUUCGCAUUGAUCUCGCUGGACUGAGGAACGCAGUGCGCCCGCAAGGGUU
rnacentral:rRNA from 1 species